CCAGGGCAUUGUUCUCAUCAAAUGUGGAAACUUAACAAUGUAAAUUAUCAUUAUUUGUGUAAAACGGUCAGCUAGUGAUAAAAUAUAGUGGUUGAUAUGACAUUUGAAUCUGAAAUAACAUAAUUAAUUUCAUUUAUGCCAAGAAAGACAUAUUUUAGUUUGCCGGUUUGAUCAAGCCGUUUUGGUAUAUGUACUGUGCUUCAAAAUAAUGAUAACUCCCUGUUGUGUAUUGCGAGCUCCAGCGAUGAGCGUGAGUGACCCGCGAUGGUCAAAUGUGUGAGAAUUUCUGUGUGUUGCAGAGAGUUAGCGGCUGAGCACUAAUCUUCAGAACAUAUUUAAUGUUACGAAGGACUCAGCCAAUAAAGAGUGGUGAACACUA